rnacentral:rRNA from 1 species
AUUGAACGCUAGCGGCAGGCCUAACACAUGCAAGUCGAACGGAGUGGCGGACGGGUGAGUAAUAUAUUGGAACGUGCCUAGUCGCGGGGGAUAACUACUCGAAAGCGUGGCUAAUACCGCAAACGAUUGGAGCGGCCGAGCGGGGAUUAGCUUGUUGGUGGGGUAAAGGCUCACCAAGGCAACGAUCCCUAGCUGGUUUGAGAGGACGACCAGCCACACUGGGACUGAGACACGGCCCAGACUCCUACGGGAGGCAGCAGUGGGGAAUUUUGGACAAUGGGGGAAACCCUGAUCCAGCCAUCCCGCGUGUAUGAUGAAGGCCUUCGGGUUGUAAAGUACUUUUGGCAGAGAAGCGGUAUCUGCAGAAUAAGCACCGGCUAACUACGUGCCAGCAGCCGCGGUAAUAC